rnacentral:tRNA from 1 species
GGGGGCGUAGCUCAACGGAAUCAGAGCAGUUCACUACGAACGAACAGGUUGGAGGUUCAAGUCCUCUCGCCCUCUCCA